UACGAAGGGUGCAAGCGUUACUCGGAAUUACUGGGCGUAAAGCGUGCGUAGGUGGUUUGUUAAGUCUGAUGUGAAAGCCCCGUGGGCUCAACCUGGGAACGGCAUUGGAAACUGGCUUACUAGAGUGCGGUAGAGGGGUGUGGAAUUCCCGGUGUAGCAGUGAAAUGCGUAGAUAUCGGGAGGAACAUCUGUGGCGAAGGCGACACCCUGGACCAGCACUGACACUGAGGCACGAAAGCGUGGGGAGCAAACAGG
rnacentral:rRNA from 1 species